AGCCCGGUGGGGUAGACCGAUUGAGAUCGGGCCCAAUGGUCAAUCCUGCGGGCCUUUGGAGCCUGCGACGGCGGAGGGAUAAACCCGCCGAAUUCGAAAGUCGAAGGUUCGGCCGAGGUUCCGCCCCGGGCUACCA
rnacentral:tRNA from 1 species